AGAGUUUGAUCCUGGCUCAGAUUGAACGCUGGCGGCGUGCCUAACACAUGCAAGUCGAGCGGUAACAGGCGUAGCAAUACGUGCUGACGAGCGGCGAACGGGUGAGUAAUGCUUCGGAAUCUACCCAGUAGUGGGGAAUAACCAAUCGAAAGGUUGGCUAAUACCGCAUACGUCCUACGGGAGAAAGCGGGGGAUCGCAAGACCUCGCGCCAUUGGAUGAGCCGAAGCCGGAUUAGCUAGUUGGUAGGGUAACGGCCUACCAAGGCGACGAUCCGUAGCUGGUCUGAGAGGACGACCAGCCACACUGGGACUGAGACACGGCCCAGACUCCUACGGGAGGCAGCAGUGGGGAAUAUUGGACAAUGGGGGAAACCCUGAUCCAGCGACGCCGCGUGUGUGAAGAAGGCCUGCGGGUUGUAAAGCACUUUUAGUGGGGAUGAAAAGUGCAGAGCUAACACCUCUGCAUCUUGACCUAACCCACAGAAAAAGCACCGGCUAACUCUGUGCCAGCAGCCGCGGUAAUACAGAGGGUGCGAGCGUUAAUCGGAAUUACUGGGCGUAAAGCGUGCGUAGACGGUAAUGUAAGUCGGGUGUGAAAGCCCCGGGCUCAACCUGGGAAUUGCAUUCGAGACUGCAUUGCUUGGGUGCGGAAGAGGGAAGCGGAAUUUCCGGUGUAGCGGUGAAAUGCGUAGAUAUCGGAAGGAACACCAGUGGCGAAAGCGGCUUCCUGGUCCGACACCGACGUUCAGGCACGAAAGCGUGGGGAGCAAACAGGAUUAGAUACCCCGGUAGUCC
rnacentral:rRNA from 1 species